AGUGAACGCUGGCGGUAGGCCUAACACAUGCAAGUCGAACGGCAGCACAGUAAGAGCUUGCCCUUACGGGUGGCGAGUGGCGGACGGGUGAGGAAUACAUCGGAAUCUACUUUUUCGUGGGGGAUAACGUAGGGAAACUUACGCUAAUACCGCAUACGACCUACGGGUGAAAGCAGGGGAUCUUCGGACCUUGCGCGAUUGAAUGAGCCGAUGUCGGAUUAGCUAGUUGGCGGGGUAAAGGCCCACCAAGGCGACGAUCCGUAGCUGGCCUGAGAGGAUGAUCAGCCACACUGGAACUGAGACACGGUCCAGACUCCUACGGGAGGCAGCAGUGGGGAAUAUUGGACAAUGGGCGCAAGCCUGAUCCAGCCAUACCGCGUGGGUGAAGAAGGCCUUCGGGUUGUAAAGCCCUUUUGUUGGGAAAGAAAAGCAGCAGGUUAAUACCCCGCUGUUCUGACGGUACCCAAAGAAUAAGCACCGGCUAACUUCGUG
rnacentral:rRNA from 1 species